UGCAGUCGANCGAGAAAGCUCUCUUCGGAGAGUAAGUAGAGUGGCGAACGGGUGAGUAACGCGUGAAGAACCUGCCUUCGAGUGGGGGAUAACAUUCCUAACGGAUUGCUAAUACCGCAUGAGACUACGGAUCCGCAUGAAUCUGUGGUCAAAGGUGGCCUCUGUUUCAAGCUACCGCUCGAAGAUGGCUUCGCGUCCCAUUAGCUUGUUGGUGGUGUCAAAGACCACCAAGGCGACGAUGGGUAGCUGGUCUGAGAGGAUGGUCAGCCACACUGGGACUGAGAUACGGCCCAGACUCCUACGGGAGGCAGCAGUCGAGAGGCUUUGUCAAUGGGGGAAACCCUGAACAAGCGACGCCGCGUGGAGGAUGAAGGCCUUUGGGUUGUAAACUCCUUUUGUUGGGGAAGAAAUGCGUGCAGGUCAAUAUCCUGUACGCUUGACGGUACCCGGCGAAUAAGCUCCGGCUAACUCCGUGCCAGCAGCCGCGGUAAUACGGGGGGAGCAAGCGCUGUUCGGAAUUACUGGGCGUAAAGGGCGUGUAGGCGGCCAGAUAAGUGAGAUGUGAAAGGUCUCGGCUCACCCGAGGACGUGCAUCUCAUACUGUUUGGCUUGAGUAUGGGAGAGGAUGGGGGAAUUCCUGGUGUAGCGGUGAAAUGCGUAGAUAUCAGGAGGAACACCAGUGGCGAANGCGCCCNUCUGGCCCAAUACUGACGCUGANGCGCGAAAGCUAGGGGAGCGAACGGGAUUAGAUACCCCGGUAGUCCUAGCCGUAAACGGUGAUCACUAGGUGUUGGAGGCAUUGACCCCUNCAGUGCCNCAGCUNACGCAUUNAGUGAUCC
rnacentral:rRNA from 1 species